AGUUGGUAUCUAAGAUCGCCAGGGAGUGACAGCCAUCCCCACCUGUGGCCCUUCUGUUUUAUGCAUUCUAGAAUGUUUAAACAGCUGAACAGAGAGGGCUGAUCAAGGCCAUGCUCGGCCCCUCCCACGUGUGUGUCUGUGCCCUUUGAAGGGGGACAGGAUAUGAAGGCCUCACCCUUUAAGGGUACCUAAGUUCUGUCAGCUCUGCCCUACAUUGCUCCCUAGUCCCAGGCCACCACUUCUCCUCUCUAGGACAUGAUGUUCUUAUCUACCCAACAACUGAUACAUGCUCUUGGGGCUGAGAAGAUGGCUUCUCAGAGAGCUUGCUGCUAUUGCAUGAGGACCUAGCUCAGAUCCCUAGAAGCCAUAUAAAAGCCAGCAUGUGUCUGUAUCUCCAAUCCCAAGAGGAGAGAUCAAGAGAGAUUUCUGGCCAGAGGAAGACACCGCUGGCAUCUAUAUGUGCACUCACAGGGUCCAGCAUCGACCAUGAGGCUUUUUCCUCUAGCGGAAGUAUUCCUCUAGGACUCAAGGGACAAUAAAAAGACACAACAACAACAGAAAAAAGAAAAACUAAGCAAAAAAGGAAAUUAAAUGUCGUAGUACAUCCACACCUGAGAAACAGGCCAACCACAAAAGCUGCCAGAAGCCAGGCAUGAAUGAGUCCAGUCUUUGAAGAACUGGGAAGAUGGCUUUAGGAUGUGUCCAUUAAGUAUCUGAAACACAGAAACACCCGAGAGCUGCCCCUUCCCUUCCCAGAGAUCCAUGAAGAGCUGAACCUAGAAUACUGAUGCCACUGUUUGUCCCCUAAGAUCGAUUAGCAUCUGGAUGGACAGGAACCAAGACAACCACCUUAGUUCAGGUUUCAGUUGCUGUAACAAAACAGCAGAGGCCAAGGACUUUACACACAAGGGUGACUAAAAGUCCAAGACUAAACAACCCCAUGUGUUUGGACUCUGGUAAGGAUCUCCCAUCUACUUCUCAACAUGGCGAAUGACAUCAUGAUGGAUGUGCAGAUGAGGAAAGAGAGGUCACAUGAUGAAACAGUCUUUUACAGCAACCUCGUAUCUCAAAAGGCUACCCUGGAACUCAGAGAUCUGCUUGCCUGGGAUUAAACACAUGAACCACCCUGCCUGGGACGAAGCUUUGCAUGGCCACUAUUCCUCAAGAUCCUCAUCAAAAGCCUGUGUCUUCCAGCCUCGAGAUCUGGAUCCAUAGUUGUGCCCUCCAUUUCUGGAUUUUAGUUCAUUCCAGAUUAAAAGUCCAGGAAUUUUUAAAAAGGAAACUGAGCAAGAGCUGGGA
rnacentral:lncRNA from 1 species